GCUACCUCAGCCUGACAGACCAAACACACUGCCAAGGGAAAAAAACAGGAUGCACCACUGCGGAUGACGUCAUGCCGUCGACUGCUAGGUGGUGAUGGAGCGAUGGCCUGUGAAGAGUAGAAGUAAUUUUGGAAACAGCCAACGAGGGACCAUGUGAAAGCGUAAAGAAGCACACGCCUGUGCCCUGAGAAACGCUGGCUUAAUGGAACUACAGCAUGUUCUCUGCUCGCCAUCGACUGUCUGGCACCCUGGAAGUGUGCCAGCAAAUUUAACAUUGCAGCCAAACAGUGGAAUUGCAACUCCUGGCCCUUAAAGUGAUACAC